CACAGACGCAAGCAUACACAAUGUGACAUUCUUGCAUUCCAAACUUGAAUUCCAAAACUGAAUUCUCUGGCAAUAAAAAUCUCAUUUGAAGGAAGACCCUUGGACUCCCAACACUUAACUCAAAGUUGGAUGGCAUCCACUGUGUAGGUUAUAUUUAAACAAUCCAUUAUAUAUGUUGGAUAAUUGGUGGACCAUGCAGUAAUACUUCCUAAUGAUCUACAGCUACCAGAUUUUGCAUGAACAAUCCUGCCACUGAAAUUAGCUGAAUGCACGACUAUUUACACUAGAAUAUGCUGGGGUGGGGAGGAAUGUUUUCUCUAAUUUUUUUCAUGUGCAGAAUAAGUUUUGUUCUGAGCAGCAGUAACAAGGUAGUGUGUGCGCACCUGCAUUUAGAAUGAGACUUUUCCUGAUUUGACCUGAGCGGGAUAUAAAAUUAACUGAGUGGACAUCAGAAAAUGUCUGAGUGUGCACACCUUAGAAACAGGGGUGUGGGCGGGAAGGUUGAAAUAUAAUUUGCUUGUAUUCUUUUUUAGACGAAAUCCUCAAGAUAACAAGCAGAUUUUAACUGUCAUUGUUCUCAACAGAUGUUCACUACUCAAUCAGAUCAGUAAUUCCCAAACCACAUCAUGCCCCAAAGCAGCAGAUCUUUCUCAGAUUCACAUUUACCAUAUAUAGCCAUUACUGAAUAAAAUGAAACAUGUUUGAAGUUCAAUCGUACAAAUUUCAAACAGUUCUUUUACUUCCUUUUUGCAAGCACAUUAAUUAAAAAAACAACAACCCACCUGAUUACCUAUAUUUAAAGUCAUUUUGCAUAGAUUGUACUGAUAUACGAACUAUGCAAAAUGACCUUGCCUAAUCACCUACUAGUUGAAUAUUAUUGGACAGAAACCCAGCUAUGAUAGUUGCUCCCAUCUUUAAACUGACAGAAAAACACUUUGUGAAGCAUACAAGUGCAUUGCUUUGCUUCUGCCACAAAAACAGGAAUACCAUGAAGAAAAAUGGGCAUGAUUUAGCAAAACUUGUACACUCUGUUCACUGAAAUUCUUUGUGUUUACCAUUUUUGUUUGGUUAAAUAUAAAAUUCAGUUAGAUUUGUAGAGCCUUGCAUUUGUGUUAAACUGUGCUGACAUUGCAACUUUUAUGUGGUAAACUACCUAGCGAUGUGAGUUUGGGGCAAUAUACAAUUAUAAUAAACUAAUAAACUGUUGUUCUUGGCCCCUGUUUUUAAAAUGUUGGGUCUUGUUCAUAACUCUGCACUAUGCCCUCUGCUGCCUUCUCUUCAACGGCCUGCUCCUCCAACAGCUGCACUUGAUGCCCGUAGAGUGUUGUAAGACGGCUCAUAGAGCAGGACUUCUGCAGUUCUCCAUCGAGGAGAGCUGCGUCGGCAUAUCUUCAGAACAGGCCCUGUGCUCAGGUGGGAAGCUCUGCUGAGCGGCCGGGCACAAGGCCAAGGGCCUAAAGGAGCAGAGGGUGCCCAGCGCAACAGAUGGCGGAAGAAGUGUGCAGAUGGAAGGCUCUCCAGUGAGCCAUCUUCCAGGUUUGUGGUGCCAUAGGGAACAGCUGACUCAGACCACGUGGCGAACAGCUACAGACUGGAGCAUCUGCAUGAGAGCCAACUUCAGCUAGCCACCAUGGCAUGGCUUGUAGGUCCGGACUGAGGCCAGGUUGCCCUUCACAACGAUGCCUAGGAAGCUGCCUUCUACCAAGUCCGACUCUUGGUCCAUCUAGCUCAGCAUUGCCUACUCAGACUGGCAGCAGCUUCUCCCAGGUUGCAGGCAGGAGUCUCCCUCAGCCCUAUCGGGAGAUGCCAGGGAGGGAACUUGGAGCCUUCUGCAUGCAAACAUGAAGAUGCUCUUCCACUGCGCUACAGCCCCAUCCCUUAAGGGGAAUCUCUUACAGUGUUCUCAUGUUGUCUCCCAUUCAAAUGCAAACACGGGCAGACCCUGCUUAGUGAAGGGGACAAUUUGUGCUUGCUGGUGCACAACAAGACCAGCUCUCCUUACCUCUUCCAGUCCUCCUCGGUCUCCCAGAACUCAUAGACAAUGAAUGUGACUCCAUCCGGAAGCCUCACCGCAGUUACGCUGCAAGAAAGAGAAGCAAGUGGGCAAUGGUCAAAAGCAAAAACAGUUGUUGAGAACAGAAGGGAUUGUACAUGGGCAUGGGCAUGAUCUUCCAUCAGGCUGUAUCAGGAGGGCUCUUUGUCCUACAUAGGAAGCUGCCUUAUACUUCAGACACCAGAUGCAUCUGUAGCAACUGAUUAUGGAUGCUAUGCCCCUUGAAUUUCUGCCUGAACAUGUAAUAGAGCAGAUGGCAUUGGGGGGGAAGGUGUAAAUUAGAUAGGUGUGGUAUCUCCUAUCCCUUGCCGGAGAUGCACCUGAACAAUUUUUGCCUCCACAGUCCACUGUAGAACUGGAAGCUCAAGAAAAGUAGGGGGUAUGUGAAAUCUGGUGCAAUCCUAGCCUAAUGUGCGAGAUUGAACAAAGUUGCUCUUGUUUACAUAUGCAGAAAAACAAACGGGGUGCACGCACAACGAGGCAGAAAAAGCAAAAAGAAAUCGUGCACACUGCUGAAUGAGGGAAAACCAAACUAGAAAAAAACUGGAAAAGCACGAGCUGGACUGUAACCUAGGAACCUGUGUGGUGAUGAUGCCAAAUGAUACCCAUAGGCAAAAUGCAUCUACCACCUCUCUUGUGAGCAAGAGGAGGCCCCCCCCAGAGGCAAGUCACAUGACUGACUCCCCAAGCCGCGCACCCACCCUGGCUUCCUUCAGUUGUAUUCAUCCUCCAAAAUUGAUGUGGGUGUUAAGACCUGGAGCUACCAGAACAGCAGGUCUUUCUCUAGUACCGUCAAAUGACUUGCAUCCUCCACAAUUUACAAAACCUUAAAAAAAAUAAUUUUGGAUGAUGUGCUGUUGUGGCACAGCUUUACUAUGCUUACCACUCAUUUAAGAUUUCUUUACUUCAUGAGCUGAGUUUCAGUGGGGGGGGCAUUUUAAAAUCUUGUCUCUGGGCCCCCUCCAACCUCGCUAUGCUCCUGAAUAAAGGUAUAUGUUUGAAAAAGUACCAAAAUGAGUUGCUGUCAGGAAACAUGCACCUAUGGCGAGUUUUCCUAUGUAUGCCAUUGUUUGUAGCUGUGGUUGUUUCUAUAUGUUAGGCAACAAUCCAGUUCCAGCAGGAUGAUUCCAAAGGAUGCCCUAAAAAAUGAGGUUCUGAAAACUUUCUGCCCCUCCGCCCCCCCCUGCAGAAGAAAAACCGAAGUCCCACUUACUGGAAGCAGUCCUGUUCUCCUGCCACAUUCUUCAAGUACUGUUUAAGUGAGCCACAAAACUCCCCCAGGUGCUUCUGGGAAACAGUCAUCUCAUUCCGUACCAAAAGAAGAUACUGAAGAAAACAAAAGAGAAGAGAAUGUAGCUAAACCUUGACAUGGACAGGUUUUGUUUUGUUUUUUAAUUAAAAAACGAACUAGUAAAAAUGCCA